GGAUACUUGAGGAUAAAUAACUACUCGUCCCCGGAUAGUUUAGAACAGGAAGUUGAAGGCCUCGGUAUGCACACUGAUAUGAGCUGCAUAACAAUUGUCUAUCAAGAUGAAUUAGGUGGCCUCCAAGUAAGAUCAAAGGAUGGGAAGUGGGUGGAUAUUUUGCCAUGUGAAGGAACUCUUGUGGUAAAUAUUGGUGACAUGCUGCAAGCUUGGAGCAAUGACAAACUACGAUCCUCUGAGCACCGUGUCAUUCUGAAGAAGCCGGUGAACCGCUUUUCUUUAGUUUUCUUUUGGUGCUUUGAGGAUGAGAAGGUG
rnacentral:misc_RNA from 1 species